rnacentral:rRNA from 1 species
AACGAACGCUGGCGGCAUGCCUAACACAUGCAAGUCGAACGAGAUCUUCGGGUCUAGUGGCGCACGGGUGCGUAACGCGUGGGAAUCUGCCCUUUGGUUCGGAAUAACAGUUGGAAACGACUGCUAAUACCGGACGAUGACGAAAGUCCAAAGAUUUAUCGCCAGAGGAUGAGCCCGCGUAGGAUUAGCUAGUUGGUGUGGUAAAGGCGCACCAAGGCGACGAUCCUUAGCUGGUCUGAGAGGGUGAUCAGCCACACUGGGACUGAGACACGGCCCAGACUCCUACGGGAGGCAGCAGUGGGGAAUAUUGGACAAUGGGCGAAAGCCUGAUCCAGCAAUGUCGCGUGAGUGAUGAAGGCCUUAGGGUUGUAAAGCUCUUUUACCCGGGAUGAUAAUGACAGUACCGGGAGAAUAAGCUCCGGCUAACUCCGUGCCAGCCGCCGCGGUAA